CAGAGGCUUAUGAGCGUGGAUGCCUAGGUGAUGCUGCUGUCUCACAUGGGGUCUCAUUGGACACCGCCCACUGUCAUUUCAGCCUGGAAGAAAUAUCUGAGGACCCCAGGUCUGCAAUUAAGCACUGUGACUAUAGCUCUCCUCUUGUGUCACGUAUCACUGAGGUCAGCACAUCACAGUGUCCCCAUCAGGUCACUGAUUGGAGUCCUGGACACGAGGACAGAUGCUCCCUCUGGACGAUGUCGGGUGCUUCGUCCCAGCAAUGAGGAAAGUAAGGAAGACAAACAGAUAAGUAGCCACGGAAAUAAAACCACAGGUGUGAAGCAGCACGUUGUGAAGGCGUCCCACAGAAUAUUGCCGCAGGGAGGGAGGAGGAGGAAGGAGGAGCCGUUUGCACUGAAGUCAGCGGCAGCGUGUGUUUAAAGGUCGGCAGGGUUAGAAGAGGAGCAAGUCGUGCAAAGUGCAGGGGACAAGGACCAUGCAGAAGCUUCCUAGGGAGAGGAAGAAAACAGCAGUGUGACCGAACUCAGUGAGUCAGGAGUCUCCUGGACUUGAGCGUGGAGAAGAUAUCUGGGUGUCAUUCCCGGGGCAGUGGAGAGAGUAUGGGGCCUCAGCUAGGAGAUGAGAAAUGUCUGCUCUGGCUUUAAAGUCCCUGCAGAAGGACAGUGGCACCGGAGCCCUGUGGGGGCUGGAACCGGGCCGGCUGCCUGGCCGGGGAGCAGAGGGCGGAGCCCGGCACUCGACCCGUCACCAGGAGGGGGUGCAGGACUAAGCACGGGUGGCCCUCGGGCACCGAGACAGGUCACUUCUGAGGACGCCGCUGUCUCUGACCAUGAGCAACCUGCACAGGGGAAGAGGGGAUGAAAUAGCUCUGCUGGGGAGUCAGCCAUUGAAGUUUGCAUGCAUAAAUUAUGAGAAG
rnacentral:lncRNA from 1 species